rnacentral:lncRNA from 1 species
GGAGGGCGAGGGGAGGAGAAAGCGGCGCGCGGGGAGCCCGGCCGCGCUCAGCCGCUCCUCACCUGGGCCGCCGCCGCCGCCGCGCCGUUUCCGUGCUGCUGCUGUUGCUGCUGCUGCUGCUGUAGAUACUCGCCGUGGCCGCCGCCGCCUCCGCCGCCGUCCACGUCCAAGGCUUGUACUCAGGGUGGGGAAGAGGGUACUUAGUGAAUUUUAAUGAGAGUUUUGCCUAUUAUACAUUACACAUUAUAACUGUCAAAGACAUAAGAUAAAACAUUUCAAGUCCCCUUUUGUCUUUAUGGAAGAAUCUGAACAUCUAUUAAGAAUCAAGAAGAAAAUAUUUGAAUCACAAUAGUGAAAACUCAGGAGCUGUAAUCCAUAAAUGAUGUUCUACUAUAGAUAAAUUAUACUUGAUUUUAAAAUGUAUUUUAAUUUUAUGUGUAUGGAUGUUUUGUCUGCAGGUAUGCCUGCUGCUCAUGGAGGGAAGAAGUGAGCUUGUAAUCCCUUUGGAGCUAGAGUUACAGAUGGCUAUGAGUUGCCACAGGGAUCCUGGAGAUUUGACCGAGGUGCAUGCCCACGUGGAGCCAGAAGACCACUCACAGGUUGAUCCUCUUGUUCCACGAUGUGAGUUGCAGAUAUCAAACUCAGGUGGCCAGGCCUGGCAGCAAGCUCUUCUGGCCGUUCAGCCAUCUCACUGGCCCUGUGGAAAUCUUUUGAAGAAGAUGGACUCACAUGAGCACAAGUUCAGAAAUGAAUAGUUUGAAAGUAGGUUCUUGGAAAAUAAAUAAAUAAAUAAAUAAAUAAAGACAAUGGAAUGGAAAGAAGCAAAUCUCCUGCAAGCUUGUUUAAUAUACACUAACAGUGAAUACAUUAGAAGGCCAGAUGAAUAAACAGA